UACAGAGGGUGCGAGCGUUAAUCGGAAUUACUGGGCGUAAAGCGUGCGUAGACGGUUAUUUAAGUCGGAUGUGAAAGCCCCGGGCUCAACCUGGGAAUUGCAUUCGAGACUGAAUAGCUAGGGUGCGGUAGAGGGAUGCGGAAUUCCAGGUGUAGCGGUGAAAUGCGUAGAUAUCUGGAGGAACACCGGUGGCGAAGGCGGCAUCCUGGACCAACACUGACGCUGAUGAGCGAAAGCCAGGGGAGCAAACGGG
rnacentral:rRNA from 1 species